AACGUAGGAGACGAGCGUUAUCCGGAUUUACUGGGCGUAAAGCGUGUGCAGGCGGUUUGGCAAGUUGGAUGUGAAAUCUCCCGGCUCAACUGGGAGGGGUCGUUCAAUACUACCGAACUUGAGGUCAUCAGAGGAAGGUGGAAUUCCGGGUGUAGUGGUGAAAUGCGUAGAUAUCCGGAGGAACACCAGUGGCGAAGGCGGCCUUCUGGGAUGAUCCUGACGCUCAGACACGAAAGCUAGGGGAGCGAACGGG
rnacentral:rRNA from 1 species